AACGAACGCUGGCGGCAUGCCUAACACAUGCAAGUCGAACGAGACCUUCGGGUCUAGUGGCGCACGGGUGCGUAACGCGUGGGAACCUGCCCUUAGGUUCGGAAUAACUCCCCGAAAGGGGUGCUAAUACCGGAUAAUGUCUUCGGACCAAAGAUUUAUCGCCUUUGGAUGGGCCCGCGUUGGAUUAGCUAGUUGGUAGGGUAAAAGCCUAUCAAGGCGACGAUCCAUAGCUGGUCUGAGAGGAUGAUCAGCCACACUGGGACUGGGACACGGCCCAGACUCCUACGGGAGGCAGGAGUGGGGAAUAUUGGACAAUGGGCGAAAGCCUGAUCCAGCAAUGCCGCGUGAGUGAUGAUGGCCUUAGGGUUGUAAAGCUCUUUUACCCGGGAUGAUAAUGACGGUACCGGGAGAAUAAGCACCGGCUAACUCCGUG
rnacentral:rRNA from 1 species